UACGUAGGGUCCGAGCGUUGUCCGGAAUUACUGGGCGUAAAGAGCUCGUAGGUGGUUUGUCGCGUUGUUCGUGAAAACUCACAGCUCAACUGUGGGCGUGCGGGCGAUACGGGCAGACGUUGAGUACUGCAGGGGAGACUGGAAUUCCUGGUGUAGCGGUGGAAUGCGCAGAUAUCAGGAGGAACACCGGUGGCGAAGGCGGGUCUCUGGGCAGUAACUGACGCUGAGGAGCGAAAGCGUGGGGAGCGAACAGG
rnacentral:rRNA from 1 species